ACCUGGCUGGCUCAGUUGGUGUAGAGCGCAACUCUUGAUUUGAGGUUGUGAGUUCAAGCCCCAUGCUGGGUG
rnacentral:tRNA from 1 species